rnacentral:rRNA from 1 species
UGAACGCUGGCGGCGUGCUUAACACAUGCAAGUCGAACGAACCUUCGGGUUAGUGGCGGACGGGUGAGUAACGCGUGAGAAUCUGCCCUCAGGAGGGGGAUAACGGUUGGAAACGACCGCUAAUACCCCAUAUGCCUACUGGUGAAAUGAAUUUCGCCUGAGGAUGAGCUCGCGUCUGAUUAGCUAGUUGGUGAGGUAAUGGCUCACCAAGGCUUCGAUCAGUAGCUGGUCUGAGAGGAUGAUCAGCCACACUGGGACUGAGACACGGCCCAGACUCCUACGGGAGGCAGCAGUGGGGAAUUUUCCGCAAUGGGCGAAAGCCUGACGGAGCAACGCCGCGUGAGGGACGAAGGCCUCUGGGCUGUAAACCUCUUUUCUCAAGGAAGAAGAUAUGACGGUACUGAGGAAUAAGCCACGGC